rnacentral:rRNA from 1 species
CGCAAAUUACCCACUCCCGGCACGGGGAGGUAGUGACGAAAAAUAACAAUACGGGACUCUUUUGAGACCCCGUAAUUGGAAUGAGUACACUCUAAAUCCUUUAACGAGGAUCUAUUGGAGGGCAAGUCUGGUGCCAGCAGCCGCGGUAAUUCCAGCUCCAAUAGCGUAUAUUAAAGUUGUUGCGGUUAAAAAGCUCGUAGUUGGAUCUCAGUUCCAGACGGGCGGUCCGCCUAACGGUGGUUACUGCCUGGCCUGAACAGCCAGCCGGUUUCCCUAGAUGAUCUUCACCGGUUGUCUUGGGUGACCGGCACGUUUACUUUGAAAAAAUUAGAGUGCUCAAAGCAGGCGUGUAGCCUGAAUAAUGGUGCAUGGAAUAAUGGAAUAGGACUUCGUUUCUAUUUUGUUGGUUUUCGGAACACGAGGUAAUGAUUAAGAGGGACAGACGGGGGCAUUCGUAUUGCGACGCUAGAGGUGAAAUUCUUGGACCGUCGCAAGACGAACUACUGCGAA